rnacentral:ncRNA from 2 species
GGCGCGCCCGGCGAUGGAUUUCCGCCGGGCGCUAUGCCGAACCACCCGUUUUUUCGGGUUGAUGAUUCCUACCUUUGG